GCCAGGUGUGGUGGUGCAUGUCUGUAAUCCCAACUAUGUGGGAGGCUGCAGCAGGAGGAUCACAAGUUCAAGUUCAGCCUGGGCAUCUUAGUGAGUUCCUGUCUU
rnacentral:sRNA from 1 species